rnacentral:rRNA from 1 species
UACGAAGGGGGCUAGCGUUGCUCGGAAUUACUGGGCGUAAAGGGCGCGUAGGCGGCACUGUUAGUCAGGCGUGAAAUUCCUGGGCUCAACCUGGGGACUGCGCUGAUACGGCAGAGCUAGAGGAUGGAAGAGGCUCGCGGAAUUCCCAGUGUAGAGGUGAAAUCGUAGAUAUUGGGAGAACACCGGUGGCGAAGGCGGCG